GACGAACCGUCCAAACGUUAUUCGGUAUCACUGGGCUUAAAGCGUUCGUAGGCGGCCUAGUAGGUGAGAUGUGAAAGCCCACGGCUCAACCGUGGAACAGCGUUUCAAACCACUAGGCUCGAGGAUGGCAGGGGUAAUGGGAACUGAUGGUGGAGCGGUGAAAUGCGUAGAUAUCCGGAGGAACACCGGUGGCGAAGGCGGCUUCCUGGACCGACACUGACGCUGAGGCGCGAAAGCUAGGGGAGCAAACGGG
rnacentral:rRNA from 1 species